rnacentral:rRNA from 1 species
GAUGAACGCUGGCGGCGUGCCUAAUACAUGCAAGUCGAGCGAACGGACGAGAAGCUUGCUUCUCUGAUGUUAGCGGCGGACGGGUGAGUAACACGUGGAUAACCUACCUAUAAGACUGGGAUAACUUCGGGAAACCGGAGCUAAUACCGGAUAAUAUUUUGAACCGCAUGGUUCAAAAGUGAAAGACGGUCUUGCUGUCACUUAUAGAUGGAUCCGCGCUGCAUUAGCUAGUUGGUAAGGUAACGGCUUACCAAGGCAACGAUGCAUAGCCGACCUGAGAGGGUGAUCGGCCGCACUGGAACUGAGACACGGUCCAGACUCCUACGGGAGGCAGCAGUAGGGAAUCUUCCGCAAUGGGCGAAAGCCUGACGGAGCCACGCCGCGUGAGUGAUGAAGGUCUUCGGAUCGUAAAACUCUGUUAUUAGGGAAGAACAUAUGUGUAAGUAACUGUGCACAUCUUGACGGUACCUAAUCAGAAAGCCACGGCUAACUACGUG